rnacentral:rRNA from 1 species
AACUUUAACUGUAAAAAAUGUCUAUACACAAAAACAAAAUAAAACUUUUAACAACGGAUCUCUUGGCUCUCGCAUCGAUGAAGAACGCAGCGAAAUGUGAUAAGUAAUGUGAAUUGCAGAAUUCAGUGAAUCAUCGAAUCUUUGAACGCAGAUUGCGCUCCUUGGUAUUCCGAGGAGCAUGCCUGUUUGAGUGUCAU